CAAGUUUCACUCUCUCUCUUAAACUUCUAAACCUAAAAACGCUCUGCAAUUACACACUCUCUUCUCACUCCAACCUACCUGCCUGAGAAGAAGAUGGAAGGCGGCCGCUCACGGCGGCGCCGCCCCUCUACUUCGGCGAACAAAAUCAAAAUUCCAUCUUCUCCAUUAAAACACUCUCCUAAGUAUGAAUCCAAACUCAGAUCCCUCACUACUUCAUCUCAAAUGCACGAAUCGGGGGUCUAAGAGGCGUGAGCGGUCUAAGAGGCGUGUCGAUCAAAAUCCUAAAGUAAAACCCUAAAUUAGGUGGUGAUGGAGCGUUAUUUCAAACCCAGACGUUAGGGGUUUCAAUCAGCGUAAAUAGGAGAAUACAAAAGUGCACUGGAUUAGUCAAGGCGUGAAGAAAUCUACCUGACCGGAGUUCGUUCGGUGACGUGCUUUCCGGCGACCAAAGAUAAGUUUACCUUCCCUCUCGUUUCUGCUUUGUUUAUGCUUUGUUUCUCGUCGUUACUAGCUUCGCCUCAUCCACUUCUUUGAUCGCAGUGGUGUGUAUAUGCUGUUGUCGUUCGCUGUUGUUGUUGUUAUGUUCUUUUAGGGUUUUAAAAAAAAUAACUUUGUCGUGCGGUUGCUGUUCUUGUUUAUUUGAAAAGAACUCUGUUGUGUUUAUGUUGUUCUUUAGGCUUUUUGAGAAAGAAGUUGCUUUUGCUGUUGUUGUUGUGGUUCAGGAUUUUUAGGAGAAAUCUCUUGCUCUGAUGUGUUAUUCUUUAGGCUUUUUUGAGAAAAAGUUGCUUUUUUGUUGUUGUUGUUGUGGUUUUGGCUUUUUGAGAAGAAAUCUCUUACUGUGUUGUGUUGUCUCUUAACGCGUCAUGAACGUAUUAUGAAGAAUUUUUAUCCGUUUUAAAAAACUCUUUUCUUUUUCAAUUUGUCUCAUCCCAAAUUAUGUGGGAUUUGAUUUGUUCUUAUUUAAGCCAUUGUUGCAAUACCUUUUCAGAUGUUCCAAUUAAUCCUCUGGAUAAAGCUUUGAACUUAGUAAUUUGAUUAGUUGUUUUUCAGUUUUUUAAGUGCUUUUUAAAUAAGCUAUUUUUCUCUGCAGGUUAUAGCUCUGGGAUGACCUGAUGGAAUGGAAGGUGGCUGCUCCAAGCUUCAAGACAACCUGUUUUUGUGACUAAGUCCAAAGUGAUUUCAUCCUAAUUGCUUGGUUUUGGUCAUUAGGAACCUAUUUCCAUUUGUAGCAAUUUUUUCACUGUAAUUACUUAGUUUAGUUUUUUUUAGACAAAAUGUGUGUUUGGAUUAUUUGGGACUUAUUGAAUUAAAUUUUAAUUAUGUAA
rnacentral:lncRNA from 1 species